rnacentral:misc_RNA from 1 species
AACUUUUGGCAAUGGAUCUCUUGGCUCUCGCAUCGAUGAAGAACGCAGCGAAAUGCGUUAAGUAAUCUGAAUUGCAGAAUUCAGUGAAUCAUCGAAUCUUUGAACGCACCUUGCGCUCCUUGGUAUUCCGAGGAGCAUGCCUGUUUGAGUGUCAUUAAAUUCUCAACCUUUCCAUUAAAUUGGUUUGGCUUGGAUGUGGGGGUUGCAGGCUUCAUUUGACUAUGAGGUCAGCUCUCCUUAAAUGCAUUAGUGGAACUUUUGUUGACCAUCUAUUGGUGUGAUAUCUAUCUACACUGUGGAUGUGAAGCAGUGUUCAGCUUCUAACCGUCUAUUAUUGACUUUACUUGACCAUUUGACCUCAAAUCAGGUAGGACUACCCGCUGAACUUAAGCAUAUCAAUAAGCGGAGGCU